ensembl:lncRNA
GGAGGGCUACAGUCUAUGGGAUUGUAAAGAAUCGGACAUGACUUAGCAACUGAACAACAACAACCCUUCCCUAGAGUGUCCUGGUGAAGGAAAACAGGGAGAAAAUACUGAUGUGAUGACUGGAGCGGAGCAGCCAGCUAAAACCGUGAAGCAUACUGGGAAUGAUUCGUGCAGAGCAUGAAUAUCUUGCAGAGCAGAAAGAUAGGAGUCUGGGUCCCUGAGGCCUGUCAGGAGCUCUGAUACAGACCCACAGCAUCCGUCUGGGAUUACUGCACUGGUCCCAUGGAACUUUGGCAGCAAGAGGACCCAGUGCAAACAAGAACCCCAUGCAGCCCACUCUGCUGUGAGAAAUAAAACUCCC